UACGUAGGGGGCAAGCGUUGUCCGGAAUCAUUGGGCGUAAAGAGCGUGUAGGCGGCCCGAUAAGUCCGCUGUGAAAGUCCAGGGCUCAACCCUGGGAUGCCGGUGGAUACUGUCGGGCUCGAGUCCGGAAGAGGAGUGUGGAAUUCCUGGUAUAGCGGUGAAAUGCGCAGAUAUCAGGAGGAACACCAAUGGCGAAGGCAGCACUCUGGGACGUGACUGACGCUGAGGAGCGAAAGCAUGGGGAGCGAACAGG
rnacentral:rRNA from 1 species